GCGCCCGUAGCUCAGUUGGUAGAGCGGUGGGACCGUAUUCCACGGUCCCGGGUUCAAGUCCCGGCAGACGCU